UACGAAGGGGGCUAGCGUUGUUCGGAAUCACUGGGCGUAAAGCGCACGUAGGCGGAUGUGUCAGUCAGGGGUGAAAUCCCGGGGCUCAACCUCGGAACUGCCUUUGAUACAGCACGUCUCGAGUCCGGAAGAGGUGGGUGGAAUUCCUAGUGUAGAGGUGAAAUUCGUAGAUAUUAGGAAGAACACCGGUGGCGAAGGCGGCAUCCUGGACCAUGACUGACGCUGAGGAGCGAAAGCCAGGGGAGCAAAGCGGG
rnacentral:rRNA from 1 species